rnacentral:rRNA from 1 species
UACGAAGGGGGCUAGCGUUGCUCGGAAUCACUGGGCGUAAAGCGCACGUAGGCGGAUCUUUUAAGUCAGAGGUGAAAUCCCAAGGCUCAACCUUGGAACUGCCCUUUGAUACUGGGGAUCUUGAGUCCGGGAGAGGUGAGUGGAACUGCGAGUGUAGAGGUGAAAUUCGUAGAUAUUCGCAAGAACACCAGUGGCGAAGGCGGCUCACUGGCCCGGUACUGACGCUGAGGUGCGAAAGCGUGGGGAGCAAACAGG